AUGGGGAAAAUGAAGUUCAAAGCAGGCUGUCCUGACUACAAGAUGCCGUAUUGUUUCUGAGAUGCCACCAUGGUGGUUGCCUCUUGGCUCAGUGCCAGCUCACUCCAGGAGUGGAGAUGAGUUCCCGGGUUCCACAUCACUCAACACCAUGCCACACGUCGUGUGUGCUCUGCAAAUAGCUCUUGGUGGUUUCAAAAGCAGAAUGGUACCUGGAGGCCUUCUAGCUGAGAGGAGGGCAGGGGACCUGCAGGGGAAGGAAGAUGCAAGACUAGUGUGGAGCAGGAUACGGCAUCAGGGGAAGCUUGAUGAAGUUCUCUUAAACCUGUUCCUGGGGUUCUUGGGAUCGAGAUUCGACCCUGAGUUUCUAGGGGUUUUGUCCCCUGCACUCAGGGCUGAGGACACUGUUUUGUACACAGCCCAGUCAUCCAAGGGGUUUCCUUUGAAAGCUCCCUGCUGUGUCCAGGAGUGA
rnacentral:lncRNA from 1 species